rnacentral:rRNA from 1 species
ACGGGAGGCAGCAGUGGGGAAUAUUGGGCAAUGGGGGAAACCCUGACCUAGCAACGCCGCGUGAAGGAAGAAGGCUUUCGGGUUGUAAACUUCUUUUACCAGGGACGAAGGAUGUGACGGUACCUGGAGAAAAAGCCACGGCUAACUACGUGCCAGCAGCCGCGGUAAUACGUAGGUGGCAAGCGUUGUCCGGAUUUACUGGGUGUAAAGGGCGUGUAGGCGGAGAUGCAAGUCAGAAGUGCAAUCUAUGGGCUCAACCCAUAAACUGCUUUUGAAACUGUAUCCCUUGAGUAUCGGAGAGGCAGGCGGAAUUCCCAGUGUAGCGGUGAAAUGCGUAGAUAUUGGGAGGAACACCAGUGGCGAAGGCGGCCUGCUGGACGACAACUGACGCUGAGGCGCGAAAGCGUGGGUAGCAAACAGGAUUAGAUACCCUGGUA